rnacentral:tRNA from 1 species
GCCCUCUUAGUUCAAUGGAUAGAAUAAGAGACUUCUAAUCUUUUGAUAUAGGUUCGAUUCCUAUAGGGGGUA